GUUUUCUUCUGUAAACAUGGGGCUUGAAUUCAAGGUGCAACGCUGUGCCUUUGGAGAAACCGCUUUUCUCUAGACCUCAGAGAGGAGAGGGACUGAGCCUGCAGCUCUCAGGAGAAGGGGAGAGAGCCCACAAAGGCAUGGGUGGGCGCAGCCUCUCCCGUGCCAUCAGGCCUUCACUGCAUUCUGGAAAAACCACUCUGUGGUGUGGAAGGGAAUGCCAGAGAAUGUGAAGCCACACUUAAGCAUGCUUGGGGGGCCUGGUCAGUGCCCAGUAGGCUGUCAGCACAGGACCCCAGCGUCCCAAGGCUCCUAGCAGUCCCUGAAUGCCUGCUGACGCCUUACAUCACACACUGGCUUCCUCUCCUCCGUGUCUCUCCCAUUCCUCAAGCGCUUCCAGGGCUCACCGUUGUUGAGAGAAAACAAGAUGGAGUAAGACUCGAGCAAGCUGGGACAGGAAGUAAAAAUCAAGCCAAGAAGGAAUUCUGCCAAGCACAAUGCACACCCUGCCUAAAAAUAUUUAAGAAUAAAUCAUAGAGUGUGGAGUGUA